GUGCUUGCUUUGGCAGCACAUAUACUAAAAUUGGAACAAUACAGAGAAGAUUACCAUGGCCCCUGCACAAGGAUGACACGCAAAUUCAUUAUGUGUUCCACAAAAGA